rnacentral:rRNA from 1 species
GACGAACGCUGGCGGCGCGCCUAACACAUGCAAGUCGAACGAGCGAGAGAGAGCUUGCUUUCUCGAGCGAGUGGCGAACGGGUGAGUAACGCGUGAGGAACCUGCCUCAAAGAGGGGGACAACAGUUGGAAACGACUGCUAAUACCGCAUAAGCCCACGGCUCGGCAUCGAGCAGGGGGAAAAGGAGCACUCCGCUUUGAGAUGGCCUCGCGUCCGAUUAGCUAGUUGGUGAGGUAACGGCCCACCAAGGCGACGAUCGGUAGCCGGACUGAGAGGUUGAACGGCCACAUUGGGACUGCGACACGGCCCAGACUCCUACGGGAGGCAGCAGUGGGGAAUAUUGCACAAUGGGGGAAACCCUGAUGCAGCGACGCCGCGUGGAGGAAGAAGGUCGUCGGAUUGUAAACUCCUGUUGUUGGGGAAGAUAAUGACGGUACCCAACAAGGAAGUGACGGCUAACUACGUG